GACGAACGCUGACAGCAUGCUUAACACAUGCAAGUCAACUGUGGCGGACGGGUGAGUAACGCGUACAGAACUUGCCUCCCAGCUAGGGACAACAUUUGGUAACGAAUGCUCAUACGUGAUACUGUGAGAGAGCUUUGGGUCCUAUUUGCUAGGUGGAGAUGUAACGGCUCACGAGGGCGAUGAUGCGUAGCCGGCCUGAGAGGGUGAUCGGCCACAAGGGGACAGAGGCACAGCGCGGACUGCUACGGGAGGCAGCAGCGAAGAAUAUUGGACAAGGUACCAAAGUCUGAGCCAGGAAUUCUGGGUGCACGGUGAAGUUUUCGGAAGGUAAAGUGCUAUCAGUUGGGAAGCGGUACCAACAGAAGAAGUGACGGCUAAAUACGUGCCAGCAGCCGCGGUAAUAC
rnacentral:rRNA from 1 species